GAUGAACGCUGGCGGCGUGCCUAAUACAUGCAAGUCGAGCGAACAGACGAGGAGCUUGCUCCUCUGACGUUAGCGGCGGACGGGUGAGUAACGGUUGCAUAGCCACCUACUAGUACGGGGUGAAUUCCGGAAACCAGCGGUAACUACGGCCAAAUAAAUUAAACGGAUGGUUUCAUUGUAAAAUAAGGCUUUGCCGGCAUUUAUUAGCGGAUCCCCGCCGCAUUAGCUAGUUGGUUAGGUAACGGCCUACCAAGGCGACGAUGCGUAGCCGGCCUGAGAGGGUGAUCGGCCACACUGGAACUGAGACACGGUCCAGACUCCUACGGGAGGCAGCAGUAGGGAAUAUUCCGCAAUGGGCGAAAGCCUGACGGAGCAACGCCGCGUGAGUGAUGAAGGUCUUCGGAUCGUAAAACUCUGUUAUUAGGGAAGAACAAAUGUGUAAGUAACUAUGCACGUCUUGACGGUACCUAAACAGAAAGCCACGGCUAACUACGUG
rnacentral:rRNA from 1 species